rnacentral:rRNA from 1 species
UGACCGCUGGCGGCGUGCCUAAUACAUGCAAGUCGAGCGAACGGACGAGAAGCUUGCUUCUCUGAUGUUAGCGGCGGACGGGUGAGUAACACGUGGAUAACCUACCUAUAAGACUGGGAUAACUUCGGGAAACCGGAGCUAAUACCGGAUGAUAUUUUGAACCGCAUGGUUCAAAAGUGAAAGACGGUCUUGCUGUCACUUAUAGAUGGAUCCGCGCUGCAUUAGCUAGUUGGUAAGGUAACGGCUUACCAAGGCAACGAUGCAUAGCCGACCUGAGAGGGUGAUCGGCCACACUGGAACUGAGACACGGUCCAGACUCCUACGGGAGGCAGCAGUAGGGAAUCUUCCGCAAUGGGCGAAAGCCUGACGGAGCAACGCCGCGUGAGUGAUGAAGGUCUUCGGAUCGUAAAGCUCUGUUAUUAGGGAAGAACAUAUGUGUAAGUAACUGUGCACAUCUUGACGGUACCUAAUCAGAAAGCCACGGCUAACUACGUG